rnacentral:rRNA from 1 species
GUGAGGAAUAUUGGUCAAUGGACGGAAGUCUGAACCAGCCAUGCCGCGUGCAGGAAUAAGGUCCUAUGGAUUGUAAACUGCUUUUAUUCGGGAAUAAACCUCUUUACGUGUAGGGAGCUGAAGGUACCGAAGGAAUAAGCACCGGCUAACUCCGUGCCAGCAGCCGCGGUAAUACGGAGGGUGCAAGCGUUAUCCGGAAUCCUUGGGUUUACAGGGUCCGCAGGCGGGCUAUCAAGGCAGAGGUGAAAUCCCACAGCUUAACUGUGGAACUGCCUGUGAAACUGAUGGUCUUGAAUUAAGUGGGCGUUGGCGGAAUAUGACAUGUAGCGGUGAAAUGCAUAGAUAUGUCAUGGAACACCGAAAGCGAAGGCAGCUAACGAUACUUAUAUUGACGCUCAUGUACGAAAGCGUGGGUAGCGAACAGGAUUAGAAACCCGAGUAGUCC